UACCAACAGCAAUCGGGAUGACGUGGCAUGAUUAGCGUGGGAUUACUGUAGCUUGAUUACCCCGGCGUCACAGAUUAAACCUGAGAGCCCCGAAGAUAUGAUCCUAUACGAAGCUCCUACGGCAGUAGCCUCCACAGAUAUACUUCUGCCUGAUCAUGUGCACAUUCAGCCAUCCGCGGGGCUUGAUCCUACUCAAGGAGUGACUGACACUGACGAUGGUUACGCUUUGCGCCUGCAAGCUGCAGAAUAUGCUAUUGACAUUACAUGUACAGAGCCUAGUGCAGGGCAUUUGGAGCAGAAUGCCAAUGUUCUUUCAGAACAAAGAGAAUCUCCCAUUCACAACAAUAAAUAUGAAGGAGAGGAGCCAUUCAUUUAUGACUCAACAAGUGGAGGAUCAUUUGGUUCGUGGACUAACUCCGAUAGUCCUUCAAGCAGUGAUGAUAUUAAUUGGGAAGCAUAUGUAGAGGAUUUGGAGACAAACUCGCAACAUGAGCAAAGCCAACAAGAGACCACUGACCACAUACUCGCUGAAAAUCUGCAAGCAUUGUACGAGGGGAACGCUGUCGCAACUGAGGACAUCAACAACGCCACUACUCCAGCUGCUGGUCAAGAAGACACCGGAGGACACGACGAGAUAAAUGCUCCAGCAGCUGGCGACAUCAACAACCCUACUACUCCAGCUGCUAAUGAAGAAGACACAGGAGGACACAAUGAGAUGAAUGCUCCGACUAUAACAACCGACGCUGGCUUACUGUUGUUGAUGGACUAGUGGCAGUGGGAUCAAGCCCAAGCGAUUCGAAAAUGAUCAUAGAACAUCAAGGAUGCGAUGGCAAAUCCCAAGCACAUGAAGGCGAAGGCCGCACUCAUGGUGAUUCCCCUGUUUUUGAAGUUGAAACUUUAUACAUUGCAAACAGCUCCGCUGAUACUGAUUCCCAUUAGUACUAAUUCCCCCUAUGUACAUGCAUACAACAUCUGCACCUGUUAGUAUCUCUCUUGUGCCAGGUGGCGCUACACAUGACAUUUGUGCCAGCAUUAGCCCGGAGUAUGUCCUGGUGCGUAGUGGUGAUGACCGCAGAGCCAGCUGCUUGCCAAGAAGGAUGGUCACUUUCGAUGAACACUUGCAGCGCACCCCCCGCAACACAUGGGGACAGGUGAUGAGGCGGUUGUUGAUGAUGGUGGUGUUCUGCUAUUGGGACAGCACGCUACACACCAUGGAGCAUUGGCGCGAAGCGUGGUCCCCUCAGUCCAUGAACAAGGAGAGAGCUCAGCUGGUCAGAUGCAUCAUCAACCUAGACGAUGGGACGAUGGCAAGCAGAAAACAUAUGCUAUACUACUUUCAUUUUGCAAAGAAACAGUGGCUCCACUCAUUUUGUUGAUGAUUGCGGAACAGGGGUGCAAGCAAUGAAUGCUGAACUAAACAGAGGACAAGAUCGCCCAAAUGUACGAAUUCAGUGGGGUGAAAAGUUCCCAGGGCACGUCGGUUUGUCACACGACGAGCCACCCCCCGGUCUGUCCUUCGCUUCUAUGAUGAAAUGUUGAGAGGAAGCGACCGAAAUCUUUCAAGGAAGUGGUUCCGUCACUUCGUGUUCCGCGUUGCGGUGAUGUCUGGGCAUGACAUACAACAGGAAUUUAGGCCUGGGGGCGAGAUAAGCCAUGUGGGAUGGAGGUGUAUCCACAAGAUGCUGUCAGAGAAGGAGCGCAAGAUGUACAGAGACUGGUUGGCACGAUGGAGGGUGUUCUUCGACUCAGUGUUUGCGAUGAGACAAAUAAAACUUUAGUUCAUCCUUUGAUCAUAUUGUAAUGGGUAUAUCAUGCAUAUCGGGUCAGCUUGACUAAAUGCCCAAAUAACUAUCGCAGGAUGAGCUCCUUCAGCAUGAGUUCGACAUUGAUCUGGAGCUGAUAAGGGAGAUGCUAAGCCAAAAUCAUCUAGGUUGCAGAGCUGAAUGGUCCAAAAUGUUCAUGUUCCCUGUCUAGCUGGCGCGUACAUGGUCUCUCUAUGUGCUUGACGUAGAACAUAAGAAAUUCUUGGUGAUGGACCCUACGGAGACCAGCAGCGGCAACAUGAAGCUGAAGCAUGAGGAUAGUGCAAAGUUGUUUCUCAAGGGGUUCUGCUGGUGCCUAAACAAUAUCUACCCCGGUGGUUUGGUUGGAUCACUUAACUCGACCUUCAAUUACAACACGGGGAUGCAUCCUCCAUGCUCAAGGCAAAACAGUGGGAUAUACAUGGUGCACUACCUCAGGGACUACAAUGGCCUUUACAUUCAUACACUGACUAAUGGUGAGCUGGAGUACUUGAGGAAGAAGCUCGCCUAUGAGAUCGUUGCGAUGAGAGGCAACAAGGGUGACUUCCCCGACUUCAUGUACACGGAGAUUAUUGAGUGAGUCAUGUCAGAAAAUCAUGCAAGUGCGUCGACGGUACUUUUGGUGGAGAACUAGGCCAUGAACGACCUUUUGGGAGACAAAAACGAGUACAUCCAGAUACCGGGCAGAUAGGCAUGCGUUUCACCUUCCAUUCGGCUGAACAACCGUACUGCUUUAAUUUCUAUUUUAUGUUGAACUAAGUAUGAAAUGUGGCCCCAUCUGAGCUGGGGGGUACCUAAAUUAUGUAGUGCUAUCUGUACGUUAAACUUAAGUCUGGAGUGUCUGAACCAAUAUCGCCUACGGGUGAACUAAUGUCUGGUCAUCUAUUUGUGCAUGUAAAGAUCCUUGAGCAAAUGAUGUGGGCAAACACGUGAAGUCCGCCGUCGAUUCCAUUUGGUGGCGAACUA